CCUACGGGGGGCAGCAGUGAGGAAUAUUGGUCAAUGGACGCAAGUCUGAACCAGCCAUGCCGCGUGCAGGAAGACGGCUCUAUGAGUUGUAAACUGCUUUUGUACGAGGGUAAACGCAGAUACGCGUAUCUGUCUGAAAGUAUCGUACGAAUAAGGAUCGGCUAACUCCGUGCCAGCAGCCGCGGUAAUACGGAGGAUUCAAGCGUUAUCCGGAUUUAUUGGGUUUAAAGGGUGCGUAGGCGGUCGGAUAAGUUAGAGGUGAAAUCCCGAGGCUCAACUUCGGAAUUGCCUCUGAUACUGUGCGGCUAGAGAGUAGUUGCGGUAGGCGGAAUGUAUGGUGUAGCGGUGAAAUGCUUAGAGAUCAUACAGAACACCGAUUGCGAAGGCAGCUUACCAAGCUACUACUGACGUUGAGGCACGAAAGCGUGGGGAGCAAACAGGAUUAGAUACCCCAGUAGUC
rnacentral:rRNA from 1 species